rnacentral:rRNA from 1 species
CGUAGGUGGCAAGCGUUGUCCGGAUUUACUGGGUGUAAAGGGCGUGUAGGCGGGAAUGCAAGUCAGAUGUGAAAUUCCGGGGCUCAACCCCGGCACUGCAUCUGAAACUGUGUUUCUUGAGUGCUGGAGAGGAAAGCGGAAUUCCUAGUGUAGCGGUGAAAUGCGUAGAUAUUAGGAGGAACACCAGUGGCGAAGGCGGCUUUCUGGACAGUAACUGACGCUGAGGCGCGAAAGCGUGGGGAGCAAACAGGAUUAGAUAUCCUGGUAGUCCACGCUGUAAACGAUGGAUACUAGGUGUAGGAGGUAUCGACCCCUUCUGUGCCGGAGUUAACACAAUAAGUAUCCCACCUGGGGAGUACGGCCGCAAGGUUG